GCUGGGCAUGGUGGCGGGUGCCUGUAAUUCCAGCUACUCGGGAGGCUGAGGCAGGAGAACCGCUUGAACCCAGGAGAUGGAAGUUGCAGUGAGCAGAGAUCAUGCCACUGCACUCCAGCCUGGGUGACAGAGCGAGACUCUGUCUCAA
rfam:Gorilla gorilla gorilla genomic chromosome, chr1, whole genome shotgun sequence